rnacentral:rRNA from 1 species
UACGGAGGGAGCUAGCGUUGUUCGGAAUUACUGGGCGUAAAGCGCACGUAGGCGGCUAUUCAAGUCGGGGGUGAAAGCCCGGGGCUCAACCCCGGAACUGCCCUCGAAACUAGAUAGCUAGAAUCGUGGAGAGGCGAGUGGAAUUCCGAGUGUAGAGGUGAAAUUCGUAGAUAUUCGGAAGAACACCAGUGGCGAAGGCGACUCGCUGGACAAGUAUUGACGCUGAGGUGCGAAAGCGUGGGGAGCAAACAGG